rnacentral:lncRNA from 1 species
AUGCGGGGCUCCCCGCGCCGGCCGACGGCACAGGGCAGGGGCAGUGCACACCCUGGCCUCCCGGGACGCCAAUGCGGGACUCCCCGACCCCGACCCCACGGCACAGGGCAGGGGCAGCGCGCACCCUGGCCUCCCGGGGGGCGCCAAUGCGGGACUCCCCGCGCCGGCCCCACGGCACAGGGCAGGGGCAGCGGGCACCCUGGUCUCCCGGGGGACGCCAAUGCGGGACUCCCCGCGCCGGCCCCACGGCACAGGGCAGGGGCAGCGCGCACCCUGGCCUCCCGGAGGGCGCCAAUGCGGGACUCCCCGCGCCGGCCCCACGGCACAGGGCAGGGGCAGCGGGCACCCUGGUCUCCCGGGGGACGCCAAUGCGGGACUCCCUGCCCCCGAACCCACGGCACAGGGCAGGGGCAGUGGGCACCCUGGCCUCCCGGGGGACGCCAAUGCGGGACUCCCCGCGCCGGCCCCACGGCACAGGGCAGGGGCAGCGGGCACCCUGGUCUCCCGGGGGACGCCAAUGCGGGACUCCCCGCGCCGGCCCCACGGUACAGGGCAGGGGCAGUGGGCACCCUGGCCUCCCGGGGGACCCCAAUGCGGGACUCCCCGCCCCGGCCUCACGGCACACAGGCGGCGGGAAGGGGCGACCGCGACCCCCGGUGGCUUCCGACCAGUCUGCGCUCCUAUCUGAGCGGGGAGCAGACCACCGCGAGCCAACCGGACAGGCGGGGUGGGGGUCCUGACGGGGACUCUCUCGGGGGUUCGGGACCCCGCCCGGCCGCCCCACGAACCUCAUCAGCGACCACACUCGGGCCACCAUGGUCGCUCGGCUCCGCGCAAGGACACCACACUGCCCGCCGCUUCCGCUCGCGGUGCGCAGAGGACGCCGGGACCUGUAGUCUUUCCUGUCAGCCGCAAAGGCCUCCGGGAGUCGAAGUCCCGCUAAAGCCUCUGAGACUCGGGAGAAGGACUAGCGAGGGUCCUACGGGCAGAGAGGCUUCUGGGAAAUGUAAGCUGUGUGGGCGACCCGGGAGCCGCAAGGCCGUCUGGGAAGUGUAG